rnacentral:rRNA from 1 species
UACGAAGGGGGCUAGCGUUGUUCGGAAUCACUGGGCGUAAAGCGCACGUAGGCGGAUUUUUAAGUCAGGGGUGAAAUCCCGAGGCUCAACCUCGGAACUGCCUUUGAUACUGGAGAUCUUGAGUCCGGAAGAGGUAAGUGGAACUGCGAGUGUAGAGGUGAAAUUCGUAGAUAUUCGCAAGAACACCAGUGGCGAAGGCGGCUUACUGGUCCGGAACUGACGCUGAGGUGCGAAAGCGUGGGGAGCAAACAGG